rnacentral:rRNA from 1 species
CAAUAGCGUAUAUUAAAGUUGUUGCAGUUAAAAAGCUCGUAGUUGGAGUUCAGAGUGAGCUCAGCCGGUCGGCCUUAUGGGUCAGAACUGGUUGACUCUCUCUUGUUUGUGGAUCCCUUCGGAGUUAACUCUUCGGAUGUGGAGUCCACAUCGUUUACCUUGAAAAAUUAGAGUGUUCAAAGCAGGCGUUUGCUUGAAUAUAUUAGCAUGGAAUAAUGGAAUAGGACGCUGGUUCUAUUUUGUUGGUUUCUAGGACCGAAGUAAUGAUUAAUAGGGACAGUUGGGGGCAUUUUUAUUCCAUUGUCAGAGGUGAAAUUCUUGGAUUAACGGAAGAAAAACUACUGCGAAAGCAUCUGCCAAGGAUGUUUUCAUUAAUCAAGAACGAAAGUUAGGGGAUCAAAGACGAUCAGAUACCGU